AAGUCGUAACAAGGUUUCCGUAGGUGAACCUGGAAGGAUCAUUAACACGUAUCCAAACGUUAAAACCCCCCCCGUGAACCUUCAUCCUGCUCUUGUAACCCGCGUAGUUCGCAAUCUCUGAUAAGAAAGACCGUACACUCGGGCAGGAGCUUUGCCAAAGGGUCCCCAUGCCCCCUAAUAACCCCACAGUUUAAUGUGAAGCUCAAUGUAAUACAUUGGGUAAAAAAACCGAACAACUGUUAACAAUGGAUAUCUUGGUUCUC
rnacentral:misc_RNA from 1 species